AAGGAAAGGAAAGACACGCACAAGUCUGCCACUGACUCCACCAACCAUUACUCUCAGGUCGGGUUUCUCCCGGUGGGAUUUAAAUAGAACUAUUGUGACACGGACAGUGCUUUCUGUUGCUGUCCUGAGGCAGGGUGGUGGUGAGGUCGUGGGUCUGCUCACAUGGUGUGAGUGGGGAAGGCCAGGUCUGGGCCAGUUCUCCACAACAUAGCUUCCAGGAAAGCCCCACCUCCACUCAUCGUGACCAAAGAACACAGCAAAAACAGACACUUCAAACUCAGAAAACCUUGGUCCUGGCUAGAAGGAGAACCCAGAAGAUUCCAGACAUCUAAGGAAGAUACUCUGUGGGAAAAAGAGGAGAGGUGGGAGAAAGUGCUGGACUAGAGGACCCAGCAGUGGUCGUUGUUGACGCUCAUUUCUGCCGCUAAAUCACUUUGUGUCCCUGAGAAAUGUUUUUUCCCUUUUAAUGCCUGAGGUUUCUUCUUGACAACUGAGAUGAAUGGACCAGAUAAUGUGAAAAUUUCCUGCUGGGAUGGUGAUAGAAAUUCACAUGUAAAUAAAAGUUCAUAGGAUUU